rnacentral:rRNA from 1 species
AACGUAGGACGCAAGCGUUAUCCGGAGUUACUGGGCGUAAAGCGCGGGCAGGCGGUCUUGCCAGUCUGAUGUGAAAUCUCCCCGCUCAACGGGGAGCAGCCAUUGGAAACUACAGGACUGGAGUCUGACAGAGGUAGGCGGAAUUCCGGGUGGAGUGGUGAAAUGCGUAGAGAUCCGGAGGAACACCAGAGGCGAAGGCGGCCUACUGGGUCAGUACUGACGCUGAGCCGCGAAAGCCAGGGGAGCGAACGGG